ensembl:lncRNA
CCGGCCAUAAACUGAUUUUUUAAAGAAUGUCUCCAUUUCUUCCAUCUAAUCUGACAGAUUUAUUCACAUACAGGUGUUCUUAAUGUCUUCCUAUUUUCCUUUUCAUAUCUGUAGGAUCUGUGGUGAUAGCUCAGUUUUCAUGAUAAUAUUGACACUUUGUGUAUUCUCUCUCACAGCCUUUUUUUUCCCCCUUUUUGGUUUUUUGAGACAGGGUCUCACUAUGUAGUCCAGACUGGCUUUGAACUCACAAUGUAGCCAAGGCUGGUCUCAAACUUGCAGCAAUCAUCCUGCCUCAGCCUUCCAAAUGCUGGGAUUACAGUGCUGCCACCCUGCCUUGGAGCCAGCUGAUUAUGGACUGAAACCUCUACAGACUGUGAGCUAAGUAAACCCUUUCAAAGAAAGAAAGAAAGAAAGAAAGAGUCCAAAACUUACCACUUGUGGGAUACAGCAAAAGGUAUCACAAAUGAAAAUCAGAGUCCCAAAUAGAAAGAAAAGAGAAAUAGGAUAGAACUACAUUUGAAAAGAUAAUAUCUGAGAAUGAUAGACAAACUACAAAUCCAAGAAGCUCAGAAAACUCCAACCAAAAUAAAUCCAAAGAAAUUCAUAUUCCUUUACAUUAAAUUCAUACUACUGUAAGCCAAACACAGAGAAAUUCUUAAAAGCAGUUAAAGUAAGAAACAUUUUUAAGAAGCUACAACUGGAAUGACAGCUGAUUUUUACAAAACAAUGGAAGUCAUAAAAUAAUGGAAGAUCAUCUUUACAAUCGAAAGAGAAAGAAAAUAACUUGACCACAUAGCAUUCCAUACCUACUAAAGAAACUCUUCAGAAAUAAAAGCAACAGCACUUGGGAGGGUAAGGUAGGAGGAUUCCUGAGAGUUCAAGGCCAGCUUGGGCUACAUAGUGAGUUCAAGGGCAGCCUGAACUGCAGAGCGAGACCCUGUGCCCCUACCUCAAACAAAACAAAAGGCAAAAGGAAAUCAUUUUCAGUCAAACAAAAACUGGGACUUAAUGCCAUCAGACAUGCACUCAAUGAAAUAUUAUAGAAACUGAAGUAAAAUGACCGCUGAAAGAAGCAUAGACUCCCAGAAGCAUCAAAGAGCACCAAAAAAGAUAAAUAUGGGAGACGUGAAACACUUGGCUGUUGGAGUCAGUAAUGAUAAUGCCUUUUGUGUUCCAGAACAUACAUAGGAGUGUAAUCCAUGACAGCAAUAGCAUGAAGCACCGAGGGUAAAGGAGUUAAACUGUUCUUAGGCUCUUACGUCAUUUGUCAGUGGUAAAAGUUCAACUUUAGAGCAUGUCAGUCACAAAGAGGCACACUGUGAUCUCUUUCACAAAAAAGUGUAAGACUAACUUGAAAGUUGGUAGAGGACAAAAACAGAAUAAUAGGACACAAGUGACGGUUGUGGUUAUUUCAUGGGAGGGAUUCACUGGAAAUGGGACUGGAAACGGCUUAUAUUCUUCUAUGAGUGGUGGUAAUGUAGGUGUAUUUACAUAAUUUAUGCAUGUAUGUGCAUCUUUCAUAUGUGCUAUAUAUGAUUAUUUAAUUGUAAUAUGUAACUUAGCUAUAAGAAGAUAUGUAUAAUACAGUGAUAUCUCAGUUCAUGAAUGCUUUUCUUUGCAAACAGAAGUGUUUGACAAAAUUCUGUUUUCCUUUGCAAAGUCUGCACUGGGUGACAAACACAACCUCAGCCGUCUUUCCAUCACAAACUCAAAUGUGGCCAUCUUUUCCAAAAUUGUAGAACAGGGCUGGGGGUUUAGCUCAGUAGUUCCGCCGCCUGCCUGGCAGGUGCAAGGUCCCAAGUUCGAUCCCCAGUACCAAAAAAACCAAACAAACAAAAUUGUAGAACAAAUUAAGUUUGAGAACUGAGGUCACACUGUAUAUAGUGAAGUAAUUUAAAAUAAUUAUAAAUAAAUAUUAAAUAUAUG